rnacentral:lncRNA from 1 species
ACUUGUCAAUCUCAACCAACUUUGUUCGCUUGUUCUUCUUUAAUCGGAAUUUUGGGUAAAUAACCCUUGUAUAACUAAAAGAUGAGCUAAGAAGAACUAGAAUUGGUAUAUUUUUCAAUAUUAAACUGUUGCUUUGAUUUUCUUAACCAGUUUUACCAAUUGAUCAUUCAGGGAAUACAGUAAUUUUACCACGUCUAAAUGCGAUGAUUGUCAGUUUAUUGAAAAUGAGGAUUCUUUGUGUUUGUAAUCCAGGUAUGUUAUCUUCGUCAUUCUGUAUAUUUUCAGAGAAAUCUGUCGUAUAUUCAUAAGCACGCUUCUUAGCCAAAUGUGUUUCAACUUUUUUAGAAGUUACUUUGGGUUUUCAGAAUUUUGGUCAAAUUUUUUCUUCUACUUUCCUUGUAACCAGCAUAGUAGGUGAGACGUCAUUGAUGGUGGUGCAAUUAAUAUCGUACGUUAUCAACUUCGACAAUAUCAUCUCGAAACCAAUCUAGAACAGUACUGUAUUUGAAAUCUUGAACAACAGGAUUAUUAAAUGUGAUCUUAGGAUCACCACAUGCAAAUCUAUGGUGCUACAAAGUGCAGUAGAAACCUUUGGAACAAAGUACAGUAGAAACUUUUGGAAUGCAUAUGAACUUAAAAUUUACAAACAUACGAUCUUCUCACCUCGAACAAACCGAUACAGGAGAACUUCAUGGCAAUCACACAGCAAUUGAAACUCGAGAAAUUUCCUCGUUCUGUGUCACUAGCGUUAUUUUCUUGACAAUUCUUUCACUCUGAACCUUGGAUUUUAUUUUAUAAACGAAGAAUUUUAAUUGUUUUCACCCAUUAAGCACAUGAAAUGAAACAAAUAAAGAAACCUACUUAUAAUUACCCUCUUUUAAAAGUCUAUGGUUGAGGAAUGAAAGGGGGGAGGGGAGGGAAGUAUCCGAAUUUAGGAUGGUGGAAUGGAGGAUGCUUGAGGAGUGGAGGGCAGGGUUUCUUGUAGAAUGGUGGGAGUGGUUUAUAAAUUGGAAUUGGUGGUGGAAGUGGCUUUACUAUUGGAGGGAUGUAAAUUGGUGGCUUUGGCUUGUAGAGUGGAACUGGUGGUGGAAGUGGCUUUACUAUUGGAGGGAUGUAAAUUGGCGGCUUUGGCUUGUAGAGUGGAACUGGUGGUGGAAGUGGCUUUACCACCGGAGGUUUGUAAAUUGGUGGCUUUGGCUUUGGUUUGUAGAUUGGAACUGGUGGUGGAAGUGGCUUUACCACCGGAGGUUUGUAAAUUGGUGGCUUUGGCUUUGGUUUGUAAAUUGUAACUGGUGGUGGAAGUGGCUUUACCAUCGGAGGUUUGUAACCUGCUGGCUUUGGCUUGUAGAUUGGAACAGUUGGCUUUGGUUUGUAGAUUGGAACAGGUGGUGGAAGUGGCUUUACCAUCGGAGGUUUGUAAACUGGUGGCUUUGGCUUUGGUUUGUAGAUUGGAACAGGUGGUGGAAGUGGCUUUACCACCGGAGGUUUGUAAAUUGGUGGCUUUGGCUUUGGUUUGUAGAUUGGAAUUGGAGGUGGAAGUGGCUUUACUGGAGGCUUCGGCUUGUAAAUGGGGACGGGAUGAGGAAGUGGCUUCGGCUUGUAAAUGGGGACAGGGUGAGGAUGUGGCUUUGGCUUGUAAAUAGGGACAGGAUGAGGAUGUGGCUUUGGCUUGUAAAUAGGGACAGGAUGAGGAUGUGGCUUUGGCAUGUAAAUGGGCACAGGUGGAGGAAGUGGUUUUGUGUAAACUGGUGGGAAUGGAGGAAGAGGCCAUGGGUGUCCGAAGUUUUUCAAUGGUGGAAAGUAAACCUUAGGGAAGUGUUUCUUCCAUGGAUGAAUUUUGGGAGAGGGUGGAUACUUAAAGAAUGGCCACAAGAAUGCAGAAGUGCACAAUGCAGUGGAGAAUUUGAGAUUUCUAUUAGGGCUGAAUGUGUGUUUUCCAUUGGUUAUCGACUUUAGGACAACCUUAGAGUCCUCGAGGCCAUUGUGAGCUGGACACGGUGCUGCCGAUGCGCUAUGAAGCUGUGCAUAACAUUCCUCUUUGAGUUUUCCUUCUUGAACAAUCUCCUCAGGAAGUGAAACCUUGAAUUUUCCUUCUUUAUCAAGCUCUCCAACUCCCACUCUUUUUAUUUCUCCAUUUUGAAGCUUGCAAUCAAUGGUUACGCUAAGCCCUGUAAAAAAUGAUUGCUUAUUGGUGAAGUGUAAAGAUGAAAAGCUACGUGGUUGUGUUAUACAGGAUUCCAAAGAGGAAUAGCAUUUGUGUAUGGUGGUCUGCAUAUAAACACUGUUUUAUCAAGAAUACACCAUGGCUUGUUGGUAAAUGGAUACGAUAGCACUGGACAAUAUUGUAUGAUACCAUCAAUUUUGUCAUCUGUAUCAAUAGAUAAUCAUACAACUAAAAGUACAUAAAAAGAUUGUAUAGUACCUGAAACAGCCUGACUCGUUUUAAUGUUAUUCUCUUUGCAGUCAGCACAUUCUCCCACCCCCACAACUUCUAUAGUCUUCUCAUCCCCACGGCAGAAGCUUGCUGCGAAUAACAAGUACACGAAGAAGCCCAGAAUGGCCC